CUUGGCUUACCAACUACCUUCAAUCGUUAAACACGAUUGUAAAUUAUGCAAACGCUUUUGUUGCCGCCCACCGGUCGCUCCAGCAUCCUACCGCCGGUGGUGGGGUUGUUUCCCUCCCACCGCCGUACGCUGUUCUUUAAUAUCGCCUGCAGUGUUGGUGCGUGUCCACCAAAUUGUUUCUCCUCUGCCAAAACCCUUCAGUCUUCUUCUAAUUGUAGAGGAUCAAGAUACUCUAUCACUAAACUCGCUUCUUCUCCGGUCACACCUGCUUUCACAUCUCCCGUAGAAGAUUCGGACAAGGCCAAACUUGCUCAGGCUCCUCCUCGUGUUGAUGUGGUGAAAAGCUAGAAAAAUGGCAUGGUAUUAAAUCUUCUGGGAAUGGGUGCUGCUAUUCUUGGAAUGCAAGCCACUGUGGGACUGUUGGUUGCAAAGGCUCUUACUUCCUCAGCUAAUCCAUAUUAGCAGGGAGUCCAUCCUGGCUACUGUCCUGUUCUGGCAUUGGAUGUAUUCCUUGUGCAGGCAUAGGCAAACACAAUCCUUUCUCAUUUUCUGGGGCUUGUUUUCUCAUUGGAGCUGCUGCGGUCAGUGACACUACCAGCUUCACCAGCUCCCAGGGUUGCAUUGUGCUUUACAUUAGAUGAACUCAGUGAAUAAUGCAAGUGGAACAUGCAGGAGUAAUAUUAUAUAUGUUCCUCUUGGGAUAUACAGACACUUAAACGAACAAAAGAAAUUCAUAGAUUUAAUAAUUUGAGGUUGAUUAGAUGUGUAAUGGCCUGGAAGAUUCACAACUGAGAAGAAAGAUAAUAUCAGAAGCGGAUCCACUGUUCAAAUUACCCAGUGGCAAGAAAUUUGAUCUGGAAAUUUGAUAUUUUAUGAUCAUAUUUUGAUACUUCUGGUAAAUGGUACUUUAUAUAAAGAUUUUUAUGUUAUAGCUUGUUCAGCCAGUUGGCAUUAAA